rnacentral:lncRNA from 1 species
GCUAAUUGCUGACCACAGCCUCUUCACCAUCUGGUCUACCUCGUCCUCUUCACAGAAAGCCCUGAAGCCAACAUGGCAUGCCCUAUGCUGCAAAAAUAUCCCAGUUACCGCCACAUUCGUGAUUCUCGGCAGAUGGUGUGGGUCGUAAAAGGAAAUUCGUUAAUAGCAGUUCCUUCCAGCAACAACGUUAAACCUGUCAUUCUUUCUUUGAUAGCAUGUAGAGACAUGGAGUUCCAUGAGGAAGGAAAAGGUACUCCACAUUACAUGGGAAUCAAGGACAAAAAUCUCUGUCUCUACUGCACAGAAAUCCAGGGCUAUCCCACUUUGCAGCUUAAGGAAGAGGAUAUCAUGAAUCUCUACAGUAAGCCCAGAGGAGAGAAGCACUUCCUCUUUCACCGCAGUGAUGAAGGCUCCACCGUUGUCUUUCAGUCCGUCUCCUACCCUGGCUGGUUUAUUGCGACCUCCUCUGAAGCAGGGCAGCCUGUUACCCUCACCAAGGAGAGGGGCACAGCCAAAAGCACGAAUUACUACUUAGAGGGUGGACUCUAA